CCAGCAGGCACGAAGGAACUGAUGAGACAGCCCUCACCUGGCCGCCAGAAUCCCACUUCCGUGAGGACUUCGUCAUGUGACUCAGAGUCGGAGCCAGCAGGAGGCCCAAAAGCUACGACUCACCCGAAACCCACCAGGGACUAUUGGCAAAGGAUUCACCCGCCAUGGAAGACGUGGGAGCGCUGUGGGCGCCGGUGUCAUCAACUGUGGAGAUUGUGAAGGAUUCACCCGCCAUGGAAGACGUGGGAGCGCUGUGGGGGCCGCGUGUCGUCAACUGUGGAGAUUGUGAAGGAUUCACCCGCCAUGGAAGACGUGGGAGCGCUGUGGGCGCUGCGUGUCAUCAACUGUGGAGAUUGUGAAGGAUUCACCCGCCAUGGAAGACGUGGGAGCGCUGUGGGCGCUGCGUGUCAUUAACUGUGGAGAUUGUGAAGGAUUCACCCGCCAUGGAAGGCGUGGGAGCGCUGUGGGCGCUGCGUGUCAUUAACUGUGGAGAUUGUGAAGGAUUCACCCGCCAUGGAAGGCGUGGGAGCGCUGUGGGCGCCGGUGUCAUUAACUGUGGAGAUUGUGAAGGAUUCACCCACCAUGGAAGACGUGGGAGCGCUGUGGGCGCCGGUGUCAUUAACUGUGGAGAUUGUGAAGGAUUCACCCACCAUGGAAGACGUGGGAGCGCUGUGGGCGCCGGUGUCAUUAACUGUGGAGAUUGGGAAAGGAUUCACCCGCCAUGGAAGGCAUGGGAGCGCUGUGGGGACUGCGUGUCAUCAAUUGUGGAGAUUGGGAAAGGAUUCACCCGCCAUGGAAGACAUGGGAGCGCUGUGGGGGCCGCGUGUCAUCAACUGUGGAGGUUGGGAAACCGGAAAGAGCAAAAGCAAAGUGGCCAGACGCUCUGCUAGUUCAGGAGAUACUGAGAUGAACAAAGGUGGCCCCUGCCCUGCCACAGCGCCCUGUUCAACAGGCUCCAGGCCCGUCUCAGUAAAUGCUAUCAUCAAAGUGCAAACCAAGACCUGGGGGAGUGGAAGGAGGAGGUGCAGUGAGAAUAUCCACAAUCCCUCUACCGUAAAAACGGCGAAAGCAUACAGAUCAACAGACAACCUCUGGACCACGCUGAGUGAGUUUUAAUGCAGGAUGGAAGCACACAGAUGGCUGAUCAGGUCUCUCUUUACUGAAACAGAACAUGUGCCAAGGGCAGUUUAGCUACCAUCUUUAACCCUAUCAGAUGCGGUCGUGUUACCCACCUCCUAAGGCUGUUUUGAAGGUUAAAUAGAGGAGAUAACAUACACGAAGCUGGUGGCACUGCCUGGCAUCACACUGCCUGGCAUCACACUGCCUGGCAUCAGAGAGAACGUUCAGCGGGGGCCAACGCUUACUGGGUGUGAAACAUGUUUAUAUCACCCCUUUCUACAAUACAAAAGAUAUUCAAUAAUAUCCUUAUUUAUUGAGUGGCUGUGAUUAAUGUUUGUAUUCCCACCUCCCCCAGAAAGGUGGGAGCAAGCUGUGGAUACACAGAGAUGAGGCCCAAGGGCAGAGUGACAGCAAGUGGAGGUGGAGGCUACAGGCUGGCCAGAAGCUGGACUGACCAAGCAGCCUCUGACAAUGAACUCUCCCCUGAGAAGUCCCUGUUUGUUGCCUCAGAGAUGUAGCUUUAAA